CCCACGCACGGUCUUUGACCUCUCGUCCCACACAGCCAAAACGGAAAAUUUCCCCUGAUUGAUUCCCCUCGCCGUCGAUGCGCUGCCUCUCUCCGGCCGCCCCUCUCCGGCCGCCUCUCUCCGCCCGCGCUCUCCGCUGUAUCUUCCGUCUGGCGCGCCGCGUCGCCGAUGCCUCCUGCUCCGUUUUCCAAGAUUACUGGCCCAUCCCCAUCCGCGCCGCCUCGAUCUGCCAUGGUCUGCUGGAAACUACCGGUCAGCUCAGCUAUGGCAACUGCCGAUGCCGAUCGUGGAACAUGCCGAUCGUGCUGCUUGUGUUUGUUACUUCCUCCACCAAUACAAAAGUCGGCGUCAGGAGCUCGCCGCGCCCGGGCUUCACGGCGGUGACGACGCUGGCGUGUACGUCUUCCUGUAUAACACGCCCGACGCAUACAAGUCCAACUUCACGCUGGUCGCCAAAUCGAAGCUAUCGAGCCUGGAAAGCCGGAAACGAGAGCCAACACCAACUGCGUCCAGAAGGUUGCGAAGGAGGUGGAUGAGUUCUUGCUGGAGUGUAAUCUGAGUAAUUCACCCCUCUUUAUUUGGUGAUUCUUUGUUAGUUUUUUACCUGAAACUUUAUAUCUCAGUGGUUGUAUGUAAUUUUUUUUUGGAAAACCUAUAUUUAGGAACCAUGAGGUUUGGAUGAACCAUUCAGCGUUCUGGCCAGAGCUUGUGGAUCCCUAAAAUUUGCUGCUAUUUAGCCUUCAUCAAUUUCUUGUGAUUUUCUGUGUUGUACAGAACUCGGAGCUACCGGCCUUGGAGAAAUUCGGUGCGGUGAGCCAAGACCACUUGCAUCUCCGUCAACCUGUCCAGUGGCAAAGUCACUGCAAACCUCAUCUCAAAGGUGAUCUUUCAACCUGGAUCAUCACCUGGAAAAUAAAAAGAACCAAGCUUAUUAGUAGAGAAUAGAGUUGCAGGUCAGCAAAUUUUGAUUAUCUCAUUUUAGCAUGGUAAUCUUGCUCCUGCAUAUGCUUCCUGCCAACAUUUUUUGUAAUUUGUCUUCCACAUAUUUUUGAAUAUGCUUAGAUGAAGGUAUUUGGUUGUGGUACACACUUUGUAUCGUGUGAAUGCCCAGUUUUCAUGCAUUUCUCGGGGCGGUGAGAUUUUCCAUGGCAGUGCACAACGUUUUCUAUCUUUACUAUUAUGCGGUUAGGCCAUAGUUUUCAUCUCUGGUGAAUAUCAUUCAAGAUUCUAAAAGGUCUGUGCAUGAUAUAGUGGGAAACUCAGAGCAAACUAGAUCAUGAAAAACACAUUCUUCUGUACAUGUGGUUUUAGGAAAAAAAUAAAACUCUACUUGUACAUGUUCGUUACCAGUCUAGCUUGGAUCAUUGACCAAAAAAAAUCUAUCAACAUAUGGCAAGUUUACUUGUAAUUAGAACUUGAUCCUAAAUGAGCAGCUAAUAGUGCACUUUCUGUAGUACAUACCUACUAAAUUGUAAGAAUACGAUACAGCAAAUCUUUGGUAACCUCUGCUUAUUUUAGCAUCAGAUCCUUUGAUAACCUAAAAUAUUACCCUCUAAUUGUGUGUGAAUGUAAAGUUAAUGGGUUAACACAUGUUGCUCAGUGAGUGAUUACAUUGUAAAGUAUAGUUCUACGAAUACCUGCGCUAACCUUUGAUUAUUAUCCUUGUUUAGCAGAGUGUGUAGUCAGAAGCACCCUAGCAAAAUUUAGUUUACAGAGUAACUUAAUCAUAGCGGCCACAAUAUACACAUGGAAUUUAAGCAUGAUGUCAUCAGUAUUGCUAUACUAGAGCUUGCAGGCGCAACUUUUAUCAACAAAUAAACGAAGAACUUGUCGGUAUGUCAAGUAAAAUGGAGUUGAGAAUUCUAAAUAGUGCUUUCCUAUUUAGGAAAAACUUAUUCUUUGUCGAGCAUAUGUCCGUAAGUAUGCCACAAAUAAAUUAGUGAAAAUUGAUGGAUUGUUUUUAGUGGAUACAGUGAUGGAAACAUGCAACAUUAAUUGUCCAAGAAAAAAGCUCUAGAUUUGUUACAUGUUUCCACAUUAACUUUUGUGUUACAUUAAUUGUCCAAGAAACGCCCGCUCCCAAUCUUCAGUCCAAGAUCCCAUCGUCGUCCGCCGCCUCCGUUCCCUCCCAAGCCUCUCGUUGCGCCCGACCGACUCAGACGGUCAGACCCCAGCUUCAUCGCGCAGCACCACCGGCAACACACGACGCCACGGCGAUGCCUCCUUAUUCCCCGCCUCGACUCCAACCGCCGGUCUGCCCCGUGCGGGUCAAUCCAUGGCAACCGCCGGUCAGCUCCUUGCGCGGCAACUGCCGAUCGUGGAGGUCAUGGAGAUUACCACCUCCAGCACAAAAUGCUCAAAGCUCCCUCCCCGCCCUUGUUCUCCCCUCGUCUCCCAGUCAGCUCUCUCAAAUCGGGCGACUGGACCAGCUGCUGCCGCCGCCGGGAACCUCCGACCACAGAAUAGGUCGGACGCCGCCGGCAGUGGCCACGCUGCUGCGCCGACCAUCUUGCUCGUAGCCCACCAGAAGACAGGAGGGCGUGCACAGGACGUCUUCCUCCUCCUUACGCCGCAUCUUUGGACGAAGAAGAGUUGGUGGAGGGCGGUGGCUCCAGGGGCAGUGACCAUCGCGAGGAGGCGACUGCAGGGUACACGAAGGAGUUCUACUUCCACAACCUGCUACUCGAAUCCUAUUCCAUCUACUGGUUCAGGAGGAGAUCUUUGAACCUGGACAGUAUUUCUGGAUCCUCUCCUAGAAAAUAAAAGGGGCCAAGCAUCUUCUGUAUCUAUUUUGGAUCCUCUUUCGGUGUUUCCAUCUCUAGAGAGUAAAAUGGUUCGAUCUCACAACUUGCAAUUGAAGUUACAAAGAAUUGCAAUCUACCUAAGCGACGCACUCGCAUUAGCACAACCUGGUUGGGAUGCCGAUAUAUUUUCCUGGCCACGUACAUCACCAGUUGGUAUUCCAGAAAAUUCAGACAGUAACGCGUCUGGUUAUUUCGUGUUUUUCAUUAUGCUCUCAUGGAAUGGUAAAGAAUUGGUUCAUCCAAUAUGCACGGAUGGUUACGAGUUGCGGAAGAACUUUUUGGUACACAUUCUCAAGUGUCAUGAAAAUGAAGCAGAAGAAAAUAUCCCUGCCAUUGUACAUCAAUAUUUGAGAAGCAUCGAGGAGUAGAUAUUAGUUGAUCAAAAAAAUUAGUUCAGUGCUUAUUAUCUUAUUCAAAUGCUAUCAGUUACGUCUGUUCAUGAAAUAUA